rnacentral:rRNA from 1 species
GACGAACGCUGGCGGCGUGCCUAAUACAUGCAAGUCGAACGCAGUGGGGACGGGUGAGUAACACGUGGGUAACCGGCGAUCAGAGGGGGGAACACUUGGAAACAGGUGCUAAACCGAUAUUGGUGGAGGAAGCUGGUGUGGAUUAGCUAGUUGGUGAGGAAACGGCUCACCAAGGCUACGAUGCAUAGCCGACCGGAUAGGGUGAUCGGCCACAUUGGAACGGAGACACGGCCCAGACUCCUACGGGAGGCAGCAGUGGGGAAUCUUCGGCAAUGGGCGAAAGUCUGACCGAGCAACGCCGCGUGAGUGAAGAAGGUUUUCGGAUCGUAAAGCUCUGUUGUCAGAGAAGCGGUAUCUAACCAGAAAGCCACGGCUAACUCCGUGCCAGCAGCCGCGGUAAUAC